rnacentral:rRNA from 1 species
UGCAGUCGAGGGGCAGCAUGAUUUGUAGCAAUACAGAUUGAUGGCGACCGGCGCACGGGUGAGUAACGCGUAUGCAACUUACCUAUCAGAGGGGGAUAGCCCGGCGAAAGUCGGAUUAAUACCCCAUAAAACAGGGGUCCCGCAUGGGAAUAUUUGUUAAAGAUUCAUCGCUGAUAGAUAGGCAUGCGUUCCAUUAGGCAGUUGGCGGGGUAACGGCCCACCAAACCGACGAUGGAUAGGGGUUCUGAGAGGAAGGUCCCCCACAUUGGUACUGAGACACGGACCAAACUCCUACGGGAGGCAGCAGUGAGGAAUAUUGGUCAAUGGCCGAGAGGCUGAACCAGCCAAGUCGCGUGAAGGAAGAAGGAUCUAUGGUUUGUAAACUUCUUUUAUAGGGGAAUAAAGUGGAGGACGUGUCCUUUUUUGUAUGUACCCUAUGAAUAAGCAUCGGCUAACUCCGUGCCAGCAGCCGCGGUAAUACGGAGGAUGCGAGCGUUAUCCGGAUUUAUUGGGUUUAAAGGGUGCGUAGGUGGUGAUUUAAGUCAGCGGUGAAAGUUUGUGGCUCAACCAUAAAAUUGCCGUUGAAACUGGGUUACUUGAGUGUGUUUGAGGUAGCGGAAUGCGUGGUGUAGCGGUGAAAUGCAUAGAUAUCACGCAGAACUCCGAUUGCGAAGGCAGCUUACUAAACCAUAACUGACACUGAA